rnacentral:rRNA from 1 species
AUUGAACGCUGGCGGCAUGCCUUACACAUGCAAGUCGAACGGUAACGGGCCUUCGUGUGCCGACGAGUGGCGAACGGGUGAGUAAUACAUCGGAACGUGCCCGAUCGUGGGGGAUAACGAGGCGAAAGCUUUGCUAAUACCGCAUACGAUCUACGGAUGAAAGCAGGGGACCGCAAGGCCUUGCGCAGACCGAGCGGCCGAUGGCAGAUUAGGUAGUUGGUGGGAUAAAAGCUUACCAAGCCGACGAUCUGUAGCUGGUCUGAGAGGAUGAUCAGCCACACUGGGACUGAGACACGGCCCAGACUCCUACGGGAGGCAGCAGUGGGGAAUUUUGGACAAUGGGCGCAAGCCUGAUCCAGCCAUGCCGCGUGCAGGAUGAAGGCCUUCGGGUUGUAAACUGCUUUUGUACGGAACGAAAAGCCUUCUUUUAAUACAGGAGGGUCAUGACGGUACCGUAAGAAUAAGCACCGGCUAACUACGUG